UACGAAGGGGGCUAGCGUUGCUCGGAAUCACUGGGCGUAAAGCGCACGUAGGCGGAUUGUUAAGUCAGGGGUGAAAUCCUGGAGCUCAACUCCAGAACUGCCUUUGAUACUGGCGAUCUUGAGUCCGGGAGAGGUGAGUGGAACUGCGAGUGUAGAGGUGAAAUUCGUAGAAAUUCGCAAGAACACCAGUGGCGAAGGCGGCUCACUGGCCCGGUACUGACGCUGAGGUGCGAAAGCGUGGGGAGCAAACAGG
rnacentral:rRNA from 1 species